UUCCCAUACCGAACACGGAAGUUAAGCUCUUCAGCGCCGAUGGUAGUUGGGGGUUUCCCCCUGUGAGAGUAGGACGCCGCCAAGCU
rnacentral:rRNA from 2 species